ACUUUGAUUUAUAGUCAGGUGGGGCUUUU
rnacentral:misc_RNA from 1 species